CAGAAAUGAUGAAUGUCACUUCAAGAGCUGGUCCAUAAAACCUUCCACACAAUCCUGCAUGCUUCCUGUCUCUACCCCAUCUUCUGACUGGAAACAGGGAAUACAGAAUCCUCCAGUAGAGGAUUCCAAAACCUGUAACAGUGACCAGAGCCACAAGGCGGAUCGUUCUGAGUCUCAUCCAAUGGGAAGCCAUCAAGUGAAAAUCUUCAUUAAACUGUUAUUCCAGGGAGACGUUAAUUUCCAUUGAGGUAAGUCAGAGACUUGGGGGUUAUUCAUCACAUCAGCCAGCUCACCCUAACCAAUGCAAAAAGCAAAUGAGUUGUCCAAGUUUACCCUUUAGAAGUUACAAAGCAUGAUGUUGAAUGUGACCUUCUGAUUCUUACAUGAGAUCUCUUCCCAUCAGAUCUGACCAGGUAGCAUGAACUUAGUACUUUGGGAGGUUGUUACCCUAUCUUUCCACAUGCAGUAUUUUCCUCUUUAGCCCAAGUAUACUCUUAGCCCUAUCUUUUCUCCCUUUCCCUUUCCUAAGGGUUUCCUAGGUUUGCUUUUUCAUAGAUUCAUCUUUAUCAGAUGAAAAUAUCUGGUUUGUCUAACACCUGACCUCCAGCAGAAGACGGCUUACCCACCCUGUAGAGAUGAGUCUCACCAGCAAAUGGAGACAGCCCUUCAAUUUCCUGCAAGUGAACUCUGCAACUGACGUGCAGGCUAAUAAUUACUUGUUCAGCAAUUUAGCAUGGCCCAGGCUGCUGGAAACUAACAUCUUCCUGAAGAGGAUGUCCUUCACACUUCUCCAUCCAGGCAAGACACGUUUUCAAGACCAAGAGAGUAGAGAAGUCAGGUAAAGUGCGAGGGAAGAUGGGAAACAAUGCAAUAAUAUGGGGGAAAGGAAAACCUGAAGACGUGGCCACAAGAAGUGUCAGACGCUUUCCAAGCCUGGGACUCCAAGAGAACAGUACAGUCCAGUUUCAGAGCUAGAGUCACAAAGCUGACUCUAGAGCUGUUUCUAGAGCUGGGCAAGGCUCCAAGGUCAUGAUGCCUAACUCUCUCGUUUCAUAAAGAGGGAAUGGAGGACCUGAGUGAUUAAGGACUGUGUCCAAAGUCACAGAGGCAGUCACCGUAGGACUAGAGUCCCGGACCAGUGCUCUCCAGUGCUCUUUGUACUUUCCACUCUUGCUUGCAGGCCUGAUAGGAAGCACUCAGUUCAAGGAGUUGGAGUAGCAGAUGUAAUUAGGAAGCUAAGUGCUGGAGUAUGUGGUCCCUGAGGAUUCAUCUCUCCAUGCCCUUGGCCAUCCCCGUCCUCCCUGAAAGCCUUUCCCUGCUUCUCUGAGAAGCCAGCUCCCAUCACCCACUAGGGACAGACACAAACAGUCUGUCUGGGGUGAGUCUCUCAAUUCCUAGGUGAAGCAGGAGUGGGAACAUCUCCAGUUAGAACUCCAGAGCAUCUGGGAAGGGAAAGUGUCUCCAGGCUGGAAACGUAUGGAAAUUUCCCUGAACCCAGAAGCAUGCUUGGAAUAGUUUCAACUGCCUCAUCUCCACUCCAGCCCAGCCGUGUUAGUGAGGCAAGCCGCAAUCAGGGAGAUAAUUAGCUUGCUGUUAUUUAUUCCCUGCGCUAAUCAGCAGCCCACUGCUUGCACAGUGGAGAGGGCUCCUGCCCCCAGAGCCAUGGGGGUUCUCAGGGACCUUUAGUUACCCGCCAGGAAACAAGUAGCAGAAGACAAAGGGCUGGGAAGAGG
ensembl:lncRNA